UGCUGCUGUUUACAGUUUGAUUCUACAGAAUUGGAACUAGAAAGGUAAAUGUCGUGAUAUAUUUAACUGUGGUAUUGAUCUGGUUUUCUGCUGUCCACACGGCACCAGGUUUUCAUAAAUAGGUUUGUCCCCUCUUAAAUUGCUUGUAUCAACACUCGGGAAAGGUGGCAGGGUAACAUGCAAGAGUUCAGAUGGACAUUCAUUUGGUUGGCAAGAUGGGCAGCAAGAAGGGCCCCUAAGUGGCUUGGGGGCAACCGUGCAUGAAAAAGUAUCACAUGCGUAUGUAGAAACAUGUCUCCUACAUCAGCGAGCAAGUUGUUGCCAUUGAUUUUCUCAUUGCACCUUAUGCUCCAUAUAAGUUCAGCGGAAUAAAAAACUCGACUGAUCGAAGUUAAAUUUGCUCGAUCAUGACCAAUUUCUUCUUCUCUCAUUUGUUCCUCAUUCUUGAAGACAUCGCUCUGCAAUUGCAGCAGUUGGUUCACGGUACAAAUGCUGUUUGAUGUACGUGCACUCGAACCGGUGGAUCAGCUUCAGGAGUAGACAUCCCCAAUGGUCAAUUUGUAGUCUACGUUGGAGAUGGUAGGAGCCAUUUCUAGAGAUGGAAUUCAGUCCACUGAAAGGUACGCCCAUCAACCCUGCUUCCUUCACUUUCCCACUGGGAUUCUCCCAAGUCUUGCCUAUCAAUCAAUGUUAUGAUGGUGAUAAUGCCCAUAGCGUGUUCUCCCUAUUGGAGACCUCGAAAGGAUCUUACAGAGGCAAACAACCAAGUGUUGGCGUAGGUGCUCAAUUUAGGUCUUACCAAGUGAACCACUGUCGAAACACUACAGAGGCUUCGAAGAAGACAAGUAAUUUGCUUGAUCCUAGUGUCUUGUGAACGCACGCGUGUGCAUGUCAAAGACUUUAUAGCUCUAGGCAGAAGUUCAGAUUUUGGUUGCUGCCAAUGAUCGUCUAUGAACUCAGUAAUGGGCACGAGGCCAUUUGGGCAUCGGUUUUCACGGGUUUAGUUUCUGUCUCUUCAAUAUGCAGUUCUUGUCCUGUAAUUUUUGGGGGUCUUGUGCGCAUUGUAGUGGAAAGGGAUCUGUAUUUGAUGGUUUGCGAGUUUAACCGGAAGGCAAUCAACCGGAAGGCAAUCACGGAUUUGAAUACCUUUUUGACAAAUAUGAGCAGAGCAAGUUGGCAGAAAGGUUAGCAUGACUGUGACGAUUUGAAAUGCGAGCCUUAAAUUUGCAAGAAUCAUUAUGGGUUGGAAGCCUUUGCUCCUUGCAUGUUGAAUCUAAUAAGCUAUGGAAAGGCCUCCACUGUACCUGCAGAGAACUAGGGUUCCAAUUUGUGAAAUUUUGUAGGGUUUAUCUGCAUCCAGAUUUUCUGAUGCAUAGUCAACAUGCUGAUAUGUGAGGGAGGAUUGCGCAGAAGUAAUAAGGAAUGUAUGGAAGUAUCCCGCCACAGGCUGUAAGAUGUUUCUUCUUAUGCCGAAAUUAGAGGAUAUUGAAAGACUAUUAUCUUUGUGGAAUAAAAAUGAUGUUGCAAUGUUUCCAACGAAAUUUCAAAACCUAAGAAAGGAACGGAUAAAUUGCAAAAUGCCCAUUAGUAGUUGCUAGCUUAUGGUGAUUUGAAGUAUGUACUGCAUGGAGAGCAGGAAUUCGUUUCUUGGAACCAAAAGUCAAGAGUUGCGUGGCUUGUGGAAGGCGACAGAAAUAUGAAAUUCAUUCAAACGAAAAGAAAAUUUCAGGAUGGGUAAGAACUGAAUCUCUACAGUGAUUGCUGGCAGGGGCCCUGACAAAAUGUAGGAAAGACUGUUUUAAUCUUUUUGAAAAUUUCUUCAUAGCUGCCAUCCUGGAUGAAUCAGUGUCGGAUGGGUGGAGGGAUUCGAAUCACCAAUACUGAAGAUAACUCUUUAAUGGCUCUGAUACUGGGUAAAGGAAAAAUCGAAACUACAAUGUUUUGGAUCCAGUGUGUUAAGGCCUUGGGAUUGGACAGCUUCACUGCUGGUUUUUAUAUGCCUUACUGCGAUUCGGUGGGCAGUAAUGUUUGUGCAAUGGUUAAAGAUUAUUUUCAAAACAAGGGAAAUAGUUAACAAAAUGAACUUGUCACUUAAUUCUCAUCCUAAAGUUUCAGGGAGCUGUUGAUAUGGUUUCUAGCCCAUUUCUUCAUGCAACUGCAUGUAUAGAUUCAUUUUCAAGGAAGGCAUUCCAUUCCUCAGCAUUGAUUCAUGACCACUUUCUGUUGAUGCAUGAGUUGGUCAUAGCAUGAAGAAGUGCAGUGGAGCAUUGCUAUUCUUUAGCUCUUGCUUUUUAUUGUGAAGUUGCUAAUCUGGAAGUUGAAGUUUGAGAAAGCGACAGACAGUAUCUAGUUUCUUAUACUAUCAGCUAUCGAAAAUCUCUCCCCAAUUCGUGCUUCGACGGGUAUAAAACAUCUAUGAUGAUCAAUGUGAAUCAGUAUUUGAAGGAGUUUUACUGGAAAGCAGCAGGACAAAAAGAUGAAAAUCCAUUGAAGUUGGCAAUUCAUGAGUGUGCAAAGGACAUACAAUAGAAUAGCCGGUUGAAGAACACCAUGGACGGUCCUAGUCCAUCCAUCAAUUGCCAUCAGGAUCAUCACCGUGGUUUAUCGCACUUGCAUGCAUGUAGGCUGUGCACUCUGAGGGGUGUACCGAGCGCAACCAUGUGGCAAGGUGGUUUAACAUCCAGGUACAAGCGGACAUGAGCUGAUGCAUGCAGUGGAGUGGCCAACUCUCCUUGGAGGACUCUUUCGUUUGGAUCCCAUUAGAUUGAAACCCAACCUCAAGGCCAUAUUUGAUAGCAUCGGAUUUGAGAUCGGAGGGUGAUUUUACAUCCAGCUUAGGUUAAAUCCACAACUUAAACAAACAGUGGAUUUUUCUAGUAUCAACUACAGACCUCAGUUCUAUGUCCUUAUAAAAACCAUGUAGUCCGAGAGGAGAUCUAUGGCUUUAAAACCAUGUAUCACCAUAUUUGGUUCUGCUAUUGUUUCGGGUGAACCAGAACCAAACUCGAUUCUGCUAUGCUGAUGGUGAAGUCUAUGUAUGCUGUUCAAGAAGAAUACAUAAACAACAUGGUGAUAUGAAAUCGCCACGCGCAAAUUCAUCCGAAAAUUGUUGUGAAGAAACUGAUUUUUAACAUCCAUUUCUCCUUGAAUCAUGUGGCUCGUUUCGGAAAAUCAAAUUCAAA